GGCUGAUCUAAGAGUGUUGUUUACAACUAAUUGAUCACAACUCAUUACAGAUUUCUUUGUUCCUUCUUCACUCCCACUGCUUUACUUGACUAGCCUUAA
ensembl:misc_RNA Y_RNA Y RNA